rnacentral:lncRNA from 1 species
AUGCACUAACAAAGAAAGCAAUUAUAAAGAAAAAGGAAUUACACAAAUAACAAAGAACAUUAUCACUCUAGGUACACAAUUACUGAAAUAGCCAAACAUUGAAUGAAAAGGAACACCAAACACAACCAUUAAAGAUACAGCAAAAACUCACACAGAUUUCACAGAAAUAGUUAUACUGAAACCAAAAAUUGAUCAUCAAUUCAAGCCAAAAAAAUCUUUCACGAUUUAUCCUAAUGAACCAACAGAGAAUAUUAUUAUAAUAGAAACAAGAGAGAGCACAAUUGCUGAAACCCAAAACUUAGAGAUUCAAUGAAAACCCUCAAAGAAUUGACAAAAACAGAAUCCACUGACCACCAAUUUAUCAUCAUAUAGCUUUAGAAAUUAUCGUGAAAAUGUGACUGACCUGUUUUUCAGUUAAGUAUCUUAUUAUUAACUCACUUCUCGGUUGAUCUGGAGCAGCACUUGAAUCCAUCGUUUAAAGUCCUUGUCUAGUUCUUCUCGGUGGAAAAAUCAGGAGACAAUGGUCAGAAUUGUACAAAAAGCAAUACAAAUCGGAAAUUCCCAGUGUUUAACCCAAAUUGAUCAUCAGUUGGAUCAAAGAACAAAAACCCUUGAAUAUAAACUAUCCUUCGAGAUUCAUUCUAUGCGUGAAUUUAGAACAUGAUAAUCGUAUAGCAAAAGAAAUUAUAGAGAGAACACAAUUGCUGAAUCCCCAAACUUAGAGAUUCGGUGAAAACCCUCAAAGAAUUCACAAAAACAGAGUCCACUUAAACCCGAUAUAUCAUCAUAUACUAGAAGAAAUUAUAGAAAUUAUCGUGAAAUGUGACUGACCUGUUUUUCAGUUAUCUUGUUAUUAACUUACUUCUCGGUAGAUCUGGAACAGCACUUGAAUCCGUCUUUUAAAAUCCUU